CGGACUCCGGGGAGGCCGGGCCUGGCGCGCCCCUCGGGGCCAUUUCUUCCCUGGGACUGUCUCGACCCGCGACGUGAGGGUGAAGGCUCCUCUCCAGACCACCCCACCGUAGGCAGCUUACUCCUCUCCUGGAGACUGCUCCAGCCAUCAUGGAGGUGGCCGAGGUGGAGAGUCCGCUCAACCCCAGCUGUAAGAUCAUGACCUUCAGACCCACCAUGGAGGAAUUCCGGGAGUUCAACAGAUACCUUGCAUACAUGGAAUCUAAAGGAGCCCAUCGAGCGGGUCUUGCAAAGGUGAUUCCUCCUAAGGAGUGGAAGCCAAGGCAGUGCUAUGAUGACAUUGACAACUUACUUAUUCCAGCUCCGAUUCAGCAGAUGGUCACAGGGCAGUCAGGACUGUUCACUCAAUACAACAUCCAGAAAAAAGCCAUGACAGUGAAGGAGUUCAGGCAGCUGGCCAACAGUGGCAAGUACUGUACCCCAAGAUACUUGGAUUAUGAAGAUUUGGAGCGCAAGUACUGGAAGAACUUAACCUUCGUGGCACCCAUUUAUGGUGCAGACAUUAAUGGGAGCAUAUAUGAUGAGGGUGUGGAUGAAUGGAACAUAGCUCGCCUAAACACGGUCUUGGAUGUGGUUGAGGAAGAGUGUGGUAUUUCUAUUGAGGGUGUAAACACCCCUUAUCUAUAUUUUGGCAUGUGGAAAACCACAUUUGCAUGGCACACCGAGGAUAUGGACCUCUACAGCAUUAAUUAUCUCCACUUUGGAGAGCCCAAGUCUUGGUAUGCAAUACCCCCGGAACAUGGAAAACGACUGGAAAGACUAGCUCAAGGUUUUUUCCCAAGCAGUUCUCAAGGGUGUGAUGCAUUUCUUCGCCACAAGAUGACACUGAUAUCUCCCUCAGUAUUAAAGAAAUACGGCAUUCCCUUUGACAAGAUCACCCAGGAAGCUGGAGAAUUUAUGAUCACUUUCCCAUAUGGCUACCAUGCUGGUUUUAAUCAUGGUUUCAACUGUGCAGAAUCUACAAAUUUUGCUACUGUCAGAUGGAUUGACUAUGGGAAAGUUGCUAAAUUGUGGCUUCCUGUGAUUCCACAUUAGGUGGACUUGGCACCUUCCAUGUUAAAAGUUCAGUCCAUGGCUUCAAAAACAGCUAUUUACAGAGGAAAGUGUCUGGUAAAAUUGUAACAAGAUGUUAAGGAAAGAUGGUAAGAAGAAAUGAUUAAAACUGCCCUUAGCGCAAAAAUGAAUUUCUUGAAAGUAAUAAUAUAGAACAUACUUUAACAAGAAAUAUAUCUUCAUGUUAAAUUUGGUACAAAAAUUAGUGUCUCCUACUCAGUAUAUUUAAUUUAGUUCACAAACUGCAUUUUAAUUCACAAGUAACGGGGUUAAAUUUUAUUAAUUGCCCCCCUGCAGAGUUAAAUAGAGGGCAUUUUCAAAGUGACAGUAGCUUCUAUUAGGUUACUUCGUUUCCUGUGGAUUUUAAGGCAGAGGUGCAUGCUGGCAGAGGGUGGGUUCUUAAUGAAACUAUGUGUUUUACAGAGUAUGCAGAAUUGCCCUAUAUUUAGUGGAAAAUGGCACAUAGAGUCUAUGUGGCCUAUUGUGGCCCCUGCAUGGUCCAGGCAAAUAUUAUUCAUUCUACAUGAUAAAACUUCCGUGUGGAACCAUUGAGUGAACGGGGACAGAAAUAUAUUCAGGGAGGACAACUCUAGGUUUAUUUUACAUGCACAUUUAGAAAAUUGCAUAAUAUUUUAAAAUAAGAAUAUAGCCCUUUGGCAGCUCAAGCGUUUGAGUGAAUUCAUAACAUAAAAGAAAGCUCCUGCUAUUAGAAGACUUUCUCUGUUCUGAGUAAUUUUUAUUUAUGAGGGGUAAUUUAGAAAGGAGUAGAACUGAACUACUUCUUUAACAUCCUUCUUAUUACAAUACACUUAAUUUGAAAAAAAACAAACCAGAAAGCUCAGUGUAUGUACCUUGGCCAGCUACUGCCGUUAUUUUGCAGAAAAGUAAUGCCUAUGUCUACAUCGAAACAGUGUCAUAACCCUGAGGUUAUAAAAAGGUAUGCUAUUUUAUGGUUUGCAUCUUUAAUCAUUGACAUAAUAAGUCAACUAUCCCAGCUGUUCAGUCGCCAGCAAAAUCAGUUUGUGCUUGUUUACUGUAGCUUUCAGUUUCAUCAUAGUUCUGAGUAUUGGCUUCUCCCCAAGUCUAAAAUAUCCUGAGUGUGUUUCCACCUUUCCAUGUGGACAAAGUAGGAGUGGAGUGUGACCACGUAAGAGAGGUUGAUAGUGAACCUCUCUGAAGUCUCAGCUGAUAAGCCCAGAGCUGUAUGGGAUUGUUUAGGAGGCAGAGCGCCAUGGUGGGGGAGGCAGGGAUCUGAGGCCCAGCUCUUCUUUUUGCUAACCAGAGAAUAUCAGGAAAGUCAUGUCUUCUCCUUGUUUCUUUCUAUAAACUAAAAGUACCUCUUUACCCCAUAGAUUUGUUGUGGGGCUGGGGGUGGAAAACUUAGGUAUGUAGACAGCCACUCAUGCUGUGUUGGUUUAUAUCAUUCAGUGUAGUCAGAGGAUAUGACAAAAUGUUCAGUGGCUAUAAUGCAGUGUUGGACAGUUAAUUUAAAACUCGUCAUAGUUGCAUGUGUUGGAGAUGAUUUUAUAUGUUGUCUCCACCCUUUUCUUACUCUUGGUGAGGUGGUGCUACUCACCUUAAUAAUAAUAAUUAUUAAUUUUUUAUUGGAACUGUAGCAAGUUUCCAUAAAAUUACCAUAAAGUUAGUGGCUUAAAACAAUACUCUUUUUACUGUUUUGUAGUCCAGUAGGUUAUAUGUUUAACAUUGGUCUCACCAGCAAAAUCAAUGUUUUUGCAGGGCUGCUUUCCUUACUGGAGAUUCUGGUGGAGAAUCUACUUACCCAGUGGGAUUGUUGGCUGUUAGUUCCUUGUGGUUGUAGGACUGAGUUCCUAUUUCCUUGCUGUUGUCAGCCAGGUCUUUGCUCCUAGAGGCCUCUCUCAGGUCCCUUGCUGUAGUCCCCUACAUUUCAGAGCAAGCAAUCCACAAUAUCCCUUUUGUCAUAAAAGAUAGCAUAUUCACAGAUUGCAAGGUCUAGGAUACGGAUAUCUUUGCUGUUAGGGGUGGGACCAAGUGGGGUGUGGGAGUGUGGGGGGCAGCAUUCUGCCUACAUCAGAGAUUUUCAGUUAAUAAUUGACAUGGUGAUAUAUAUUGAUUUUUUUCAAGUCUGUUUCUAUAGGCAACCUUACGGAUUUACUGUGGUGUACGUAUGGGUAUGUGUAUGAACGUGUAAUUUCCUAAGAUUAGAAAAAUUUGUAAAUUGGACAUUUUUGUGUUUUGCUGGAGAAAAAUAUAAUGUAUAGAAAUUAAUUAUGAAUUGUAUUCAAAGACAAAUUUUAGCUUUGAGAAUGACCACAUUUGUUUGUCUUAAUCCUUUGUGUUCUUUAAUUCAUUCUAAAUGAUAACUGUUUAAAAGAGUUAUUUUUCACAAGUGAUAGUUAUACAUUUAGGGGGAUAAUUUUUUAAAAAAUGGUGUACUUUUUUGUAGUUGAAGCACUGGGAAAUGACUGCUGCUUUACCUGUCACAUGUUGAUUUGACUAUGUAAAAGCAUCUGAUAAAGCGUCUGGUGCAGCAUUAAUUAACAUGGGGUAGAGUGAAGAAUCUCAACUGAUAAUAUUUUGUAUAUUACAAACCAAUAUUUCUGUUUCCAUAACUUAGAAAAGGGCUGUUACAGGAGGUUAUUUUUUAAUUAAAAAAAAAAUUUUGAAAAGAUAACCCCAGGCUCACCAAUAACAUUGGUGGUCUUUGUUUAGCAGCCAACAAGCUUUGGUUAGGGACUUUUUAAGCCAUUCAAGUGACUUAAUAUGGAUGGGGAGAGAGUUCUGUUUUUUCAGGUAGAGCCUGUCUGUUGUAUGCCAGGCACUGUGUAUGUUUCUGUGAAUUCAUCCCUUGGAGGCUGAAUUGUUUGAUGGGAGCCAGAAGUGAGAGUAGUGUUGGCACUGCCGAGCAUCCAGGACUGCUUCCUUUGCUCUUGGCUGCUUCACCGCUGGUGGCAUCGCUGGAGCAGGAUGGGAGAUGGGGUUUCUGUGGAUUUCCUUUGAAUGUAUUACUGAUCUCUUGGUAUGUGGUAUUUGUUCAUGAAACCUUCCCUCCAUUUAAGGUAUAGCUAACAUUGACUAAAAAGAAUAUCCAUCACAGUAUUUGUGCUAUUCCCAAAUACUCAUCUUCCAAAUUCCAGCAGAUUCUUUAACCUUUGAUGUUCUCAACUAAAUAAUAAUAAUAGCAGCAAUAAUUAUUAUAUGUGGAUAUUCCAUUGCCUGUCAGUGUUUUCCCCAUUUUUCAGCACUUAAUUCAGAUGGCCCUUUAUUAUAGUAUCUACCCAAACUGCCUCAUCUCUUAUAUAAGGCUUCUUUUGUGCAUAGAUUGUAGAACAGGUCUUCAGAAAAUGGUGUGAGCAAUGACAACAACUUAAUUUCAGUAUCCUUUAGAAAUUUCUAAAAUUUCUGCUAAAGCCACCAACUUUGGUAUUCCUCUUGUUCCUAUCUUUCCAUCUCUUUUCAGGAUCACUCAGCUCUUUUUUGCCUUGACCUGCCAAAUAUAGCAAACCAAAUCCUGCAUGAUACUGCAGAAGAGAACAGCCUUGCCUUAAGAGGACCCACCUACCUAAGAAAGUGGUUCUGUAAUUCUUACUCCUCAUUUCAUUUAUCAGAUUUAAGGUUUUCAUUGAAAAAAAAGGAAUGUUCUAGGUGGCCUUGUGCCCAUAUGCCUGGUAUCAGGCAGAGUUCAGCUUUGGUGAGUGCCCUGCAAGUUUCUUCUCUGAAAUAGGAAUUGUGCUACACGCUUGUACAAAAGGAAUUGUUUCUUUGUCUUCAAAGAGCUUUUAUAAUGAGCAGAAGGGCUUUUAAUAAACCUCUUUUGCAGAGCUGUAAUAUGAGUGGAACAUACCAUCCAGUUAUUUAUUUUAGGCAUCUUUCUAGCUUUGAAUAUCAGAGUAAUCUAGAGUGAAAUACUGUAUACUUUUUUUUCUACUAGAGAUUUUAAAAUAUCCGCCAGAUUGCAUAGCAGUUGAACUAAGAUAUUUGUGCAUAUUUGAGAUGAAUGUUUUCUGCUUCUGGAGCAUUCUUUCUUUCUGGGGUGAGAUGGAGUCCAUGGUUACUUCUGCUCAGCAGCUGUGGUGGCAUUCACAGGUCUGCUUCCUGGCUAGGUUGGAUCAAAGAGCUGGCCUGCAGGUUGUAUUUCAUUUUUCCGUUUGGUGGGAUGAAGUGCAGUUGUUUUGAUGUUAGGUUUGAUGGAUUUGUUUGCCACUGCAUUCAUUAGCUUCACAUCAAAAAACUGACAGGCUGUUAAAUGAAACUUUGGCUUAGAUUUUCAGCUUGACUGUUUGGAGACAUUUGUGAGGAUAUUUUGUUUUUGUGUUGCAGCAGCCUCCAGCACUGUGAUUGUCUCUAAGGGAAGAAAAGUUAUUUACUGUACUGAUUUUCUUGAGUUAAAAAGAAUCAUUGUCUGGGGGACAGUCAUAUCUAGGCUGCACCAUCAGAAGCAGUGUAUUUAUGACAGUAUGUGCAGUGUGAGAGACUUAUCUACAGCACAGUAAAUAACGUUAUCUUCUUGGAAGGAAAGGUAAUAGUUGGUGACUCUAGAAUGAUAUCUCUUAUUUUGCAUUAAUUUUACUUUAAGUGAUAAUCUAUUAACAUGAUAUGCCAGAAAGUUGAAAAAUUGCACUACAAAGCUGGGAAUGUUCUCUUAUGAACUCCAAGAGAGUUACUUCACCAUCUAACUUGAAAGCAUUCUGACAUUUGAAUCCUCAAACUUGUUUUGAACGAGUUAAAGAGACGGUAGAAUGUUGAAAUUGAUUUCUUUUUAAUCUGAAAGGAAUUUCAACUGUUAAAUUGUCUUGCAUAUAAGAACCAUGAUAUGGGUUUAUCUUUUUUUAUAUUUCAAUCUUUUCUAAAAUUAAAUUUGUUUUUUCCUAAAUUAGGUAGCAUUCAUCCAAAAAAAUCUUUAAUCUUGGGGUGGUCUUUUUAAAAACAAUCAGGAACCAUUUUAACAUUGAGUCUCAAGGUUAUAUUUUAAUAUGCCUUAGAUCACAGAAUACUAGUACAGUGACAUUUCUCUAUUCUUACAGCUUGUGAAGUAAAGUACAUGUGGACUGUUGAACAUUGCUCAUUUAACAGUUCUUGGCAUUCUAAUUUUAGUGUCUGGUCUGUCACAUAAAAUAUGAACUUUGAGAGCUAAGUGGUUUCAUAUUCUCCAUUUUAUCUUUUUACCUUCACUUGACUUCUGUUACUUGGGUCCUAGUGGUACAACACAGCAGUGCUGAUGAGUGGUUGUCCUCUGCCUUUUUUUUUUUUUUUUUUUUUUUAAAAAACAAGAGUGUAAAGGGAAGAAGAGAAAAUACCAUAUAGAGAAAAAGAAGCAUAUGAAGUCAUGUCCUUAGGAGUUUGUACUCAAACUGGGAAGUUUGUAUUUAUGUAUUUAGAAGAGAUAGGGUUAGGUUCACAUUAUGUCCCCAUUUUAUUCUAAUAAAGUAUUGUUGGAUUCAUAAAAUCUGAGGCGUCAAGUAGCAUACCAGGAAGGCCAAGUGAUUAAUACAGAUUGUGUCUGCAGGAGAGACGUUUGGGGUUUGAGUCCUCAGGGAUGGGGAGCCUGAUUUCAUUUAGUGCUAAUUUAUUAAUAAUUUGCUAGAUUAUGGGAUUUGAGUGGAACUAGGUAUAUAAUUUCAGAGAAGGCAAUGGCACCCCACUCCAGUACUCUUGCCUGGAAAAUCCCAUGGACGGAGAAGCCUGGUGGGCUGCAGUACAUGGGGUUGCUACGAGUCGGACA